UAUAACUUCCACAACAGAAAAUUUUAUGUUAUUUGCCUACUACCAAUGCAGUUUAACUGAUUUAUAGCAUAAAUUAUAGAAAAUUGGUAAACUGGCUGGACCUGCACUUUAAGGAAGACAAGGUACUUAUAAUGUCAUAAAUUAUAGAUUCUGCUUUCUUAAAUUCAUGCGUAUUAAUAUUGUACACUGCUUCUUACAUUCUUCCUAAACUUAGUUUCUACAUUCUAGUAUCAUUUGUAGUCUUGCCAAGUAAACCUUAUAUGAAGAACAUAAUAUUGAAGUUGGCAUAAAUAUGUUUGGAAAAGAGUAGUAGAAUUUGGCCUUGAGCAAACAUAUAAUAAAUGGAAUGAUACUGCAUUCUAAUUCUGUUAUAUCUUGCAAAUUUAAGUGUGUCGCCCUCCACCUAUAGGCUUUUACAUACUUGCUCUUUCUUGUUUGCAUUGUUCAUCUCGCCAAUAGUUCUCUUAGAACAUCAAGAACUAUUUGGCUUUUUGAUUUGCAGCUUAAGCCAGAUCUUGGCCAAGAGAAAGAUCCGAUGGCAGGAAUUAUGGAUUUGAUGAAGAACAUGUAUGAAGAAGGCGAUGAUGAGAUGAAGCGGACGAUUGCCAAAGCCUGGUCUGAUGCAAGAUCUGGAAAAACGGCUGAUCCACUAAAAAAUUACCCAU